rnacentral:rRNA from 1 species
UGAGGAACAUGACCUUCGGCGGGGGAUAGCCGGCCCAACGGCCGGGUAAUACCGCGUACGACCUUUUGGGGACAUCCCCGAUUGGUGAAAGCAGCAAUGCGCCGAAAGAGUGCCUCGCGGCCUAUCAGCUAGUUGGUGGGGUAACGGCUCACCAAGGCAACGACGGGUAGCUGGUCUGAGAGGAUGGUCAGCCACAUUGGGACUGAGACACGGCCCAGACUCCUACGGGAGCAG